rnacentral:rRNA from 1 species
GAUGAACGCUGGCGGCGUGCUUAAUACAUGCAAGUCGAGCGAACAGAUGAGGAGCUUGCUCCUCUGACGUUAGCGGCGGACGGGAGAGUAAAAUGAGGAUAACCUACCUAUAAGACUGGGAUAACUUCGUGAAACCGGUGCUAAUACCGUACAAUAUAUUGAACCGCAUGGUUCGAUAGUGAAAGAGGGUUUUGCUGGAGCUGAUAGAUGGAUUCGCGGCGUAUCGGCUUGUUGGUAAGGUAGCGGCUUACCAAGGCGACGAUGGGUAGCCGACCUGAGAGGGUGACCCGCCACAUUGGGACUGAGAGACGGCCCAGACGCCUACUGGAGGCAGAAGGGGGGAAUAUUGAAGAAUGGGCGCAAGCCUGAUGCAGCAACGCCGCGUGCGGGAUGACGGCCUUCGGGUUGUAAACCACUUUCAGCAGGGACGAAGCUUUUUGUGACGGUACCUGCAGAAGAAGCACCGGCUAACUACGUG